rnacentral:rRNA from 1 species
AUUGAACGCUGGCGGCAUGCUUUACACAUGCAAGUCGAACGGCAGCGCGGGGCAACCUGGCGGCGAGUGGCGAACGGGUGAGUAAUACAUCGGAACGUACCCAGAAGUGGGGGAUAACGUAGCGAAAGUUACGCUAAUACCGCAUACGUUCUACGGAAGAAAGUGGGGGACCUUCGGGCCUCAUGCUUUUGGCGCGGCCGAUGUCUGAUUAGCUAGUUGGUAGGGUAAAGGCCUACCAAGGCGACGAUCAGUAGCUGGUCUGAGAGGACGACCAGCCACACUGGGACUGAGACACGGCCCAGACUCCUACGGGAGGCAGCAGUGGGGAAUUUUGGACAAUGGGCGCAAGCCUGAUCCAGCAAUGCCGCGUGAGUGAAGAAGGCCUUCGGGUUGUAAAGCUCUUUUGUCAGGGAAGAAACGGCUGAGGAUAAUACCUUCGGCUAAUGACGGUACCUGAAGAAUAAGCACCGGCUAACUACGUGCCAGCCGCCGCCGUAAGAC